rnacentral:misc_RNA from 1 species
GAAAUGCGAUAAGUAAUGUGAAUUGCAGAAUUCCGUGAAUCAUCGAAUCUUUGAACGCACAUUGCGCCCCCUGGCAUUCCGGGGGGCAUGCCUGUCCGAGCGUCAUUUCUGCCCUCAAGCACGGCUUGUGUGUUGGGUGUGGUCCCCCCGGGGACCUGCCCGAAAGGCAGCGGCGACGUCCGUCUGGUCCUCGAGCGUAUGGGGCUCUGUCACUCGCUUGGGAAGGACCUGCGGGGGUUGGUCACCACCAUAUUUCACCACGGUUGACCUCGGAUCAGGUAGGAGUUACCCGCUGAACUUAAGC